rnacentral:lncRNA from 1 species
CCAAGUCACCAAAUAUAACCACAUUUAAAACAAAAAUUCACCUUUAAAGUCCCUACACUUAAUUAUUUUAAACCUACCAAGUCACCAAACAUAACCACAUUCAAAAUAAAAAAUCACCUUUACAGUCUCUACACUUAAUCAUUUUCAACCUACUAAGUCACCAAUCAUAAUCACAUUCAACAUACCAAGUCACCUUUAAAGUCCCUACACUUAAUCAUUUUCAACCUAACAAAUCACCAAACAUAACCAC